rnacentral:piRNA from 1 species
CUGGACCUGCAUCUUGGUUAUCAUGGA